AAGAGAACGAUGGAAAAUUUUUUGUUUAAUACAUUGGCUACUGAAGAAUAAAUCAUGUCUUGGACUACAGCUUUUCUAGCAAUCAUUGCACUAGCACCAUGGUUUGAACCUUCCGCAGGUGUUUGGAUUUAUGAUGACGAAUGAUUUAUAUAAUUGGAAUUCAUUGGAAUUCAUUUACAAUGACGAAUGAUUUAUAUACAUUUUUUUUUUGUUUUCUUUUGUUUAAUAUUAAAAUUAAAUUUUCACACUCCAUAAUUUACUCACAAAACUUCGUUAAAGGGUUAGGCCACCCACCUAAAAACCCUCAAAUUGAUUGAUCAACUCAUUCGGUUGUGCAUUUGAGUUUUGUGUUUCACCAAGCAGAAGAAUUCAAUUAUUCAAAAGCCGAAAACAACAUGAAGGUAAGGUGGAAUAGGAGGAAAUACAUAGAUUAGGGUUAAAACGAUGUGAAACGAAAAAAAGGCUGGACUUAAAAUGGACUUUUAUUUUAAAUUUUUAUAAAUAAUUCUUAAACUGCCAGUGCUGCCCAAAUGUUCCUCAUG